rnacentral:misc_RNA from 1 species
AUUUGAACUGGUGACACGAGGAUUUUCAGUCCUCUGCUCUACCGGCUGAGCUAUCCCGGCCAACGUCUCUACGGAGAUGUCUCAAAUCCAAAUGAGACAGAUAUCUUUUUUUUUUUUUUUUAUUUGAUCCAUCUCUGCUCAAUCAAACCAAUAGUCUCGGUAAAAAAUAGUUGUUUGUUUAACAUUUUCUAUAGUCUUCAAAUGAACCACUCAAAAAGUCUUUUAGGCUUGCUCAGUGGUUCAUUUGUGUUCCAUACUCGAAUAAGAGAUUAAAGGUGAAAGGACAGGGUAUUAAGCUAAAUUUAUCGAGCUCUGGCUCUGAGUCAAAGAUCUAAGAUUUACUACUCCUCCUAAUAGUUUGAAGGGGGUGAGAUAACCAUAUGAAUCCGAACAAUCUACAUAUAGAUUGGCAAUUCUACCCUGUUCUGUUGGGGAUAGAGGGACUUGAACCCUCACGGUCCUAUAAAGACCAACGGAUUUUCUUUCUACCACAAUUUACAUUGCUACUCAUACCAACCGUGUAGAAUGGGACUCUAUCUUUAUCCACGAAAACAUUAUUAGCUACUACUUGUUGAGGAGUAUUCAUUAAAAUACAACAGAAGACAGGCACUGUAACAGGUAGAGAAGGAAUAUGAGAGUUAGUAGGAAUAGGAUAUAUCUUUUAUAUACUAUAUAUUCAAAUGUUGGCGUGAUCCUGCGAACGAAUGUCGACUCUAUGCCAACUCUAGACCGAAACAGGGGUCGCACUCGAUCCUUAUCCAACUAGAAAAGCUUUUUUUCUUCUCUCUCUCAUUUCUUCGUCUCAUAUCCCUGUAUUUCAUCUUGUUCAAUCACCCAUACGGGGUAGUUAAAUAUUUAGUUACUUUAGAAAUAAGGAUUAAUAGAUUGUUCGUUGGAAUAGCCCCCGUCGAGUCUCUGUACCUAUCUCGCCUCGUCAUCUAAAACUUAGAUAGAUGAGCUGAGAUUUGGCUCAGGAUUGCCCGCAAAAUAAUCCUAGGUUCCCCUGAAUCUGGGAGCUGUCACUCAGUACGUUUCCAUACCUAGGCUCAAUCUGAUUGAGUCCGUAGCGUCUACCGAUUUCG